CCGAGUACCCCUCUGAUCACCCAUUAAUUCCCUUCCUCCUCGCCUUCUCCUGCAAUGUGCCGCGACUGCCUCCUCCUCCCUUGCCUCCUCGCCCAUGGCCAUCUCUUCCUUGUCAUGCUCCUCCGUGCGCAUGUCAUCCUCUACCGGUGCUUGGUGGAGGCCGCGACCUCUCCUCCCGCGCCUCCCCCUCCCCCUGGAUCUCGUCGUCCCUGGCGGACUUGGCGGCGGCGCGCUUCCUCGAGGAGGCGCGUGCGGGCGUGGUGGAGGACGAGGAGCUCGACGCCAUGACCUCUAGGGAGUGGAAUGCAUUGUACAUGAUGUGAGUUCUCAAUGAGUUAUGUGGCAGUCAAAACUACUGCUACUAGGGUUCUAAGGGGAUGUCGGGUGUCGAGCCCGACGGCGGCAGUGGCGGCGUGUCCUCCUCCGCCGCCGUAGAGAAUUUUGAUGUUAGGCAAAAUGCCUUCUUCGGAAAGGACUCACUGAGGGGCUCUACAUCUAUUGCUUGGAGGAUGGCGGCGGCGAUGGCAAUAGCGGUGGAUUCAGUGGGCCAGAAGAGGGGCUAUAUUGGCUCGUCUGUUGGAGAAGAGUUGAACCGAAGCAUUAGUUGAACUCGGAAUCCUGGUGUUAUCGGGGACAGGCGAUCAAUUUCAAGAAAGCAUCUAACCAAAAGAAUGCAAAAGUUCAACUUGACGUCUGCAAGUUUUCAAGGACUCUUCUCACUUUAUCAGAAAUUAGACCCGUUGUCAAUACUUUUGGCUACUACAAUGACAGUCAUCUCUAUGUGAUGUGGAACGGGAACACGUGGUUUAACUGGUACCUGUGCAGCACAUCAUGUCUGAUGCAUGUUUCAGCUUCUUAUUUUAUCUCCCCAAUGUCGUGUCUCGUUUCGAUUGUUGGCAUUGGUAAAACGGUUUAUGAUUUUUCUCAUGAUCUUGGCUAUUUACUGAUUUCUUCUUAUCCCAAACGUGCAGUUUGCUUUGCUUGUUUCAAGGAAUCGAAGGAUAAGAGACAGAGACCGCGAUAGUAGUCCUCAAGCUCGCUCUACAUGCUGUGAAACUCUGGUUUGUUGGCUUGACAGGUGUGCCAAAUCAGCAGUCCCGACUCGCUUGAGGCGAGCGAGGCUCUGUGCUUCCGGUGGUUGGCCAUAGUGGGCAUGAGGGCUAACUCUAGGUGAAUAAAUUUAUGCAAGUAAUUACUAGAUUGGUACUAGCCACAGUUCUCAGUGUAAAAGAAGCAGCUGUGCAAAAGUAGGCAUGAAGGGGCAGAAAAGUGGACAGAUAGAACCUUAAGUAUAUGGAUCUAGCUAUGAUGUUUUUAUUAUUAAUUUAUGCUGAGCCGAUAUAUCAUAUAAUCGAAUGUAACAGGUACAUUUUUCAGCCUCUUUAUUACAACGAAAUGUUAGUAUGGUCUAUUUAGUGGACUGAUUUGUAAAUAGCCACGGUCUUCAAGAAACCUAGGGAUGAUCACUGCAGUGAGACUGACAGUACUACCAUUUCAGUAGGCAAUGAGAGUAUAGGACCCUGACUAAUGAUGGCGGUUAAUUUAUUUACUGUACAACAAGGCAUGGCUUGUUUAUCAGCAAUUCAGCAGUACUACCAUUUCAUGUUUGGUUUGGGAAGAUACCUGGUUCAAAGAUCUGCCGCGAGUUCAUGAGUAUCCAGAAUUUUAUCAGAUCACUCCUAAGUCUGAAAAGCUUGUUCAGCAAGUUCUCCAAGGUCAGAUCCCUUUUUUGAUAAUCACAAAUUCGAGUAAUUGAACUCCAAUACUGGUUUAAAAGAAGAAUGCUUAAUGAUCACAAACUCGAGGAGUUGACUACAACAAGGAUGGGCUGAGGCCUCUUUAUCAGAUGACAAAAGACUUGCUGACUUGGGACUGAAGUGGACCACAAGACAGUCAUUCAAAGGGUGUGUUGCUCCUGUUGGUGAAUAGGUAGGUUUAUUCAGUCUGCAGCAUUUCAAUAUUCUUUUGGUUGGUACUUUCCAAAUUUUCUGUUAAGUAUAAACCUCAUAAUAUUGUGCAUAUAUCACAUUGCGUGAUUAUGCUCCAUGUUUCGGAUUUAGUCUUGUGCCACCGAACUGUAUUGAUGCCUAUUUUAUAGAAGUAU